rnacentral:rRNA from 1 species
CCUACGGGAGGCAGCAGUGAGGAAUAUUGGUCAAUGGGCGGGAGCCUGAACCAGCCAAGUCGCGUGAGGGAAGAAGGUACUUAGUAUUGUAAACUUCUUUUGUCGGGGAACAAAGGCGGAGACGCGUCUCCGGAUGAGUGUACCCGAAGAAAAAGCAUCGGCUAACUCCGUGCCAGCAGCCGCGGUAAUACGUAGGGAGCAAGCGUUGUCCGGAAUUACUGGGCGUAAAGGGCGCGUAGGUGGGCGCUUAAGUCAGGUGUGAAAACUCCGGGCUCAACCUGGAGACUGCACUUGAAACUGGGUGU